UAAGGAAUAUUGGUCAAUGGGCGCAAGCCUGAACCAGCCAUGCCGCGUGCAGGAAGACGGCCCUACGGGUUGUAAACUGCUUUUUGUACGGGAAUAAACCCUGAUACGUGUAUCAGGCUGAAUGUACCGUAAGAAUAAGGAUCGGCUAACUCCGUGCCAGCAGCCGCGGUAAUACGAAGGGGGCUAGCGUUGCUCGGAAUCACUGGGCGUAAAGCGCACGUAGGUGGCUUUGCAAGUCAGAUGUGAAAUCCCCGGGCUUAACCUGGGAACUGCAUUUGAGACUGCAUUGCUAGAGUAUGGGAGAGGGCAGUGGAAUUUGCCGGUGUAGCGGUGAAAUGCGUAGAUAUCGGAAGGAACAUCAGUGGCGAAAGCGACUGCCUGGACCAAUACUGACGCUCAUGUGCGAAAGCGUGGGGAGCAAACAGGAUUAGAUACC
rnacentral:rRNA from 1 species